GACGAGGGGUCCAAGCGUUGUUCGGAAUCAUUGGGCGUAAAGCGGGUGUAGGUGGCUUUGUAAGUCAGGAGUGAAAUCCCCGAGCUUAACUUGGGAAGUGCUUUUGAAACUGCAGGGCUUGAGUGUGGGAGAGGAUCGUGGAAUUCCAGGUGUAGUGGUGAAAUACGUAGAUAUCUGGAGGAACACCGGUGGCGAAGGCGGCGAUCUGGCCCAACACUGACACUGAGACCCGAAAGCGUGGGGAUCA
rnacentral:rRNA from 1 species